rnacentral:rRNA from 1 species
AGAGUUUGAUUCCUGGCUCAGGAUGAACGCCGGCGGUGUGCCUAAUACAUGCAAGUCGUACGCACUGGCCCAACUGAUUGAUGGUGCUUGCACCUGAUUGACGAUGGAUCACCAGUGAGUGGCGGACGGGUGAGUAACACGUAGGUAACCCGCCUCGGAGCGGGGGAUAACAUUUGGAAACAGAUGCUAAUACCGCAUAACAACAAAAGCCACAUGGCUUUUGUUUGAAAGAUGGGCUUUGGCUAUCACUCUGGGAUGGACCUGCGGUGCAUUAGCUAGUUGGUAAGGUAACGGCUUACCAAGGCAAUGAUGCAUAGCCGAGUUGAGAGACUGAUCGGCCACAAUGGAACUGAGACACGGUCCAUACUCCUACGGGAGGCAGCAGUAGGGAAUCUUCCACAAUGGGCGCAAGCCUGAUGGAGCAACACCGCGUGAGUGAAGAAGGGUUUCGGCUCGUAAAGCUCUGUUGUUGGAGAAGAACGUGCGUGAGAGUAACUGUUCACGCAGUGACGGUAUCCAACCAGAAAGUCACGGCUAACUACGUGCCAGCAGCCGCGGUAAUACGUAGGUGGCAAGCGUUAUCCGGAUUUAUUGGGCGUAAAGCGAGCGCAGGCGGUUGCUUAGGUCUGAUGUGAAAGCCUUCGGCUUAACCGAAGAAGUGCAUCGGAAACCGGGCGACUUGAGUGCAGAAGAGGACAGUGGAACUCCAUGUGUAGCGGUGGAAUGCGUAGAUAUAUGGAAGAACACCAGUGGCGAAGGCGGCUGUCUGGUCUGCAACUGACGCUGAGGCUCGAAAGCAUGGGUAGCGAACAGGAUUAGAUACCCUGGUAGUCCAUGCCGUAAACGAUGAGUGCUAGGUGUUGGAGGGUUUCCGCCCUUCAGUGCCGGAGCUAACGCAUUAAGCACUCCGCCUGGGGAGUACGACCGCAAGGUUGAAACUCAAAGGAAUUGACGGGGGCCCGCACAAGCGGUGGAGCAUGUGGUUUAAUUCGAAGCUACGCGAAGAACCUUACCAGGUCUUGACAUCUUGCGCUAACCUUAGAGAUAAGGCGUUCCCUUCGGGGACGCAAUGACAGGUGGUGCAUGGUCGUCGUCAGCUCGUGUCGUGAGAUGUUGGGUUAAGUCCCGCAACGAGCGCAACCCUUGUUACUAGUUGCCAGCAUUAAGUUGGGCACCCUAGUGAGACUGCCGGUGACAAACCGGAGGAAGGUGGGGACGACGUCAGAUCAUCAUGCCCCUUAUGACCUGGGCUACACACGUGCUACAAUGGACGGUACAACGAGUCGCAAGCUCGCGAGAGUAAGCUAAUCUCUUAAAGCCGUUCUCAGUUCGGACUGUAGGCUGCAACUCGCCUACACGAAGUCGGAAUCGCUAGUAAUCGCGGAUCAGCAUGCCGCGGUGAAUACGUUCCCGGGCCUUGCACUCACCGCCCGUCA